CUUGAGUUCUGUCUUUCUCUUUUAUGUCCUCUGUGUUAUGCCCAGGGUUCACCUGCUGAAUGGGUGAAGAUUCAAAGAUGGCUCCAAGUUUUCAUGUCAGAGAAUAGAGAGAGAAACAGGGAUGAAAGAGCCUGUCCAUCUAGGUGACCAAGUACUCACUGCACAUCAUGGUGACUGGGAUCCAGUUUGAAAAUAGAUAGUUUUUUUUUUUUCUGGAGUGUAGGAUGGAAAUUGACUAAACUCAUUACUGGCCCAUCUUUGUUACUUUCCCAAAAUGUACCAUUCUCUUUUGACUGUUUGUAAUGUGGAAUGACAGGAACCAGCAACAAAUGUAUUUCUUAAAUCUCUAUGCCUUUCUCUCUUCAAGCUUCUUUGGCAGUUAAGAAUGACAGGAGUGACUUCUCUGGGAAUGACGACUAUCCCAUUGAUGUCUAGCUUGUGCCCUAAUGGAAUGUUGAAUCACUGACUACAAUAUCUAGAACAUUUUUCAGGCAAUCUAUAGUGACUAUGACCUUGUGCAAGAGCUCAAUGGAGUGUGGGAUCAUCUCUCUUCUGUCCUCCAGGAAAAAGUACUACCUGACCACAUCUUAUUGAAUUUAAUUGUUAUUUAAAGUUAUUAGCUAAGGUACCAUUUUGAACCAUUGACAAUUGUGAAUCAGAGGGCAUAUCAUUAAAUCUUUAGGCUAGACAGAAUUAUAAACUGAUUUAGAGAUUAUCCAGAGAAGUCAGUCUCAGAUAAGGAGAUAGGUAUUGCCAUUGGCUUAUAUCUUUUAACAAUUUAUCAGGAGAUAUAGGAAUAUUGGAUGUUGUUGUGCAUGCCAAAAACUCUACUUUGAUUCAUAUAAAAAAAGAAGCUCCAAAAAGCAGUGAUACAAAACAAAUGUGAUACCUCGGAUGUCUUGAAGAAAGAGUGGUCACAACUGACUCCCUAGCCUUCUUUUUAGUAUUUCCCUCCCCAUAGAGUACUAGAAUUAUGGAUAAGGAAACUUAGUCCUUAAGAAAUUGUGACUUAUUCAAAAUCACAGUUACUUAGAGGAGAGAUGUGAUUUGAGCUCUGAUCUCCUGACUCUUAAUGCAGUGAGUUUUUAAAGAAAAACUGUAGUGUAGGCUCUGAUUCCUUAAAUGGAGCAAUGCCCCUAUAUGAUUAUGGUCCUGGUGAUAUGGCAAUAUGGAAAGCUGAUAGAGGAGAUAGUUUUUGAAUAGGGGGUUCUUAAGGCUCCGUAAGACAUAUUGCAUAGGCAGAUGUAUGUUUAUUCAUUCAACAGGCAUUUAUUAAGGGCCUGCUCUGUGCUAGGGUGUAUAUUGUAGUGGAUAGAUAGCUGGCAUCAGACCAGGAAGACAAGAAUUUGAGUCCUGACUUUGACUUGCUAUGUGUCUGACAUAAGUGCUCUAGGCAAUUCUCUUAAAAGGAAGAUGCAGAGAAAAGGUGUUGACC
rnacentral:lncRNA from 1 species